rnacentral:rRNA from 1 species
AGAGUUUGAUCAUGGCUCAGGACGAACGCUGGCGGCGCGCUUAACACAUGCAAGUCGAGCGAGAACCAGGGCUUCGGCCCUGGGGACAGCGGCGAACGGGUGAGUAACACGUGGGUAAUCUGCCCUCGGCACCGGAAUAGCCCGGGGAAACCCGGAUUAAUGCCGGAUGGCCCGCCCGCCUUUCGAGGCGGUCGGAAAAGGUAGCUUUGGCCUCCGGCCGAGGAUGAGCCCGCGGCGGAUUAGCUUGUUGGUGAGGUAAUGGCUCACCAAGGCAACAAUCCGUAGCUGGUCUGAGAGGACGAUCAGCCACACUGGGACUGAGACACGGCCCAGACUCCUACGGGAGGCAGCAGUGGGGAAUCUUGCGCAAUGGGCGAAAGCCUGACGCAGCGACGCCGCGUGAGGGAAGAAGGCCUUAGGGUUGUAAACCUCUUUCAGCAGGGACGAAGCUACUCGGGUUAAUAGCCCAGAGGGUGACGGUACCUUAGAAGAAGCCC